rnacentral:rRNA from 1 species
UACGGGGGGAGCAAGCGUUGUUCGGAUUUACUGGGCGUAAAGGGCGCGUAGGCGGCCACUGCAAGUCAGUUGUGAAAUCUCCGGGCUUAACCCGGAAAGGUCAACUGAUACUGCAGGGCUAGAGUGCAGAAGGGGCAACUGGAAUUCUCGGUGUAGCGGUGAAAUGCGUAGAUAUCGAGAGGAACACCAGUGGCGAAAGCGGCUACCUGGCCCAUUCUUGACGCUGAGGCGCGAAAGCUAGGGGAGCAAACGGG